rnacentral:rRNA from 1 species
GACGAACCGUGCGAACGUUAUUCGGAAUCACUAGGGCUUAAAGGGCGCGUAGGCGGGCUCGCCAGUCAGGGGUGAAAGCCUCCAGCUCAACUGGAGAAGUGCCUUUGAUACUGCGAGUCUCGAGGGAGGUAGGGGCGUGCGGAACUUCCGGUGGAGCGGUGAAAUGCGUAGAUAUCGGAAGGAACACCGGUGGCGAAAGCGGCGCGCUGGACCUCUUCUGACGCUGAGGCGCGAAAGCCAGGGGAGCAAACGGG